GUGCCCGCUUCAGCGGCACAUAUGAUGAAAUUGGAAUGAUACGGAGAAGGUUAGCAUGGCUCCUGCUGAAGGAUGUUCAUAAAAUGUUCCAUAUUUAAAAAACACUGUU
rnacentral:snRNA from 1 species